CGCUGGCGGCAGGCCUAACACAUGCAAGUCGAGCGGAUGAAGAGAGCUUGCUCUCUGAUUCAGCGGCGGACGGGUGAGUAAUGCCUAGGAAUCUGCCUGGUAGUGGGGGACAACGUCUCGAAAGGGACGCUAAUACCGCAUACGUCCUACGGGAGAAAGCAGGGGACCUUCGGGCCUUGCGCUAUCAGAUGAGCCUAGGUCGGAUUAGCUAGUUGGUGAGGUAAUGGCUCACCAAGGCGACGAUCCGUAACUGGUCUGAGAGGAUGAUCAGUCACACUGGAACUGAGACACGGUCCAGACUCCUACGGGAGGCAGCAGUGGGGAAUAUUGGACAAUGGGCGAAAGCCUGAUCCAGCCAUGCCGCGUGUGUGAAGAAGGUCUUCGGAUUGUAAAGCACUUUAAGUUGGGAGGAAGGGCAGUAAGCGAAUACCUUGCUGUUUUGACGUUACCGACAGAAUAAGCACCGGCU
rnacentral:rRNA from 1 species